CUGCGGAAGGAUCAUUAUUGAAAUAAACCUGAUGAGUUGCUGCUGGUUCUCUAGGGAACAUGUGCACAUUUAUCGUUUUAUAUUUCCACCUGUGCAUCUAUUGUAGAUUUUGGAUAUCUUUCUGAAUGCUUUUGUAGCAUGUCAGGUUUGGGGAUUGACUUUCAUGUCUGUCUUUGCAUUUCCAGGUCUAUGUUUCUUCAAUAUACCCCAAUGUAUGUUAUAGAAUGUAUUAAGUGGGCCCUUUGUGCCUAUAAACUUAUACAACUUUCAGCAACGGAUCUCUUGGCUCUCGCAUCGAUGAAGAACGCAGCGAAAUGCGAUAAGUAAUGUGAAUUGCAGAAUUCAGUGAAUCAUCGAAUCUUUGAACGCACCUUGCGCUCCUUGGUAUUCCGAGGAGCAUGCCUGUUUGAGUGUCAUUAAUAUAUCAACUUCUUUAGUUGGAUGUGGGGGUUUUUUUGCUGGCCUUUUCUAAUGGUCAGCUCCUCUAAAAUACAUUAGCGGAACAAUUUGUUAACUGUUCAUUGGUGUGAUAAUUAUCCACACUAUUGAAUUUGUGAGCCAAGUUCAGCUUCUAAUAGUCCAUUGACUUGGACAAUUUUUUCCAUCUAAUGUGACCUCAAAUCAGGUAGGAUUACCCGCUGAACUUAA
rnacentral:rRNA from 1 species